CUGCUAAGACUGGAUAGGAGACAAGAAGGCAUCUUCUUGUUUUUAAAAGACCUAGCAAUAGGUAUGCUUAGGGAGGAGCUUGCGUCACAUUAGUUAGUUGGUGGGGUAAAGGCCUACCAAGACUAUGAUGUGUAGCCGGGCUGAGAGGUUGAACGGCCACAUUGGGACUGAGACACGGCCCAAACUCCUACGGGAGGCAGCAGUAGGGAAUUUUCGGCAAUGGAGGAAACUCUGACCGAGCAACGCCGCGUGAACGAUGAAGUAUUUCGGUACGUAAAGUUCUUUUAUUAGGGAAGAAUAAAUGAUGGAAAAAUCAUUCUGACGGUACCUAAUGAAUAAGCCCCGGCUAACUAUGUGCCAGCAGCCGCGGUAAUACAUAGGGGGCAAGCGUUAUCCGGAAUUAUUGGGCGUAAAGGGUGCGUAGGCGGUUAAAUAAGUUUAUGGUCUAAGUGCAAUGCUCAACAUUGUGAUGCUAUAAAAACUGUUUAGCUAGAGUAAGAUAGAGGCAAGUGGAAUUCCAUGUGUAGUGGUAAAAUGCGUAAAUAUAUGGAGGAACACCAGUAGCGAAGGCGGCUUGCUGGGUCUUUACUGACGCUGAGKCACGAAAGCGUGGGGAGCAAACAGGAUUAGAUACCCUGGUAGUCCACGCCGUAAACGAUGAGUACUAAACGUUGGGUAAAACCAGUGUUGAAGUUAACACAUUAAGUACUCCGCCUGAGUAGUACGUACGCAAGUAUGAAACUUAAAGGAAUUGACGGGACUCCGCACAAGCGGUGGAUCAUGUUGUUUAAUUCGAAGGUACCCGAAAAACCUCACCAGGUCUUGACAUGCUUCUGCAAAGCUGUAGAAACACAGUGGAGGUUAUCAGUUGCACAGGUGGUGCAUGGUUGUCGUCAGCUCGUGUCGUGAGAUGUUGGGUUAAGUCCCGCAACGAGCGCAACCCUUAUUGUUAGUUACCAGCACGUAAUGGUGGGGACUUUAGCAAGACUGCCAGUGAUAAAUUGGAGGAAGGUGGGGACGACGUCAAAUCAUCAUGCCCCUUAUGACCUGGGCUACAAACGUGAUACAAUGGCUGUUACAAAGGGUAGCUGAAGCGCAAGUUUUUGGCGAAUCUCAAAAAAACAGUCUCAGUUCGGAUUGAAGUCUGCAACUCGACUUCAUGAAGUUGGAAUCGCUAGUAAUCGCGAAUCAGCAUGUCGCGGUGAAUACGUUCU
rnacentral:rRNA from 1 species